AAGGAUCAUUACCGAGUGAGGGCCCUCUGGGUCCAACCUCCCACCCGUGUUUAUUUUACCUUGUUGCUUCGGCGGGCCCGCCUUAACUGGCCGCCGGGGGGCUUACGCCCCCGGGCCCGCGCCCGCCGAAGACACCCUCGAACUCUGUCUGAAGAUUGUAGUCUGAGUGAAAAUAUAAAUUAUUUAAAACUUUCAACAACGGAUCUCUUGGUUCCGGCAUCGAUGAAGAACGCAGCGAAAUGCGAUACGUAAUGUGAAUUGCAAAUUCAGUGAAUCAUCGAGUCUUUGAACGCACAUUGCGCCCCCUGGUAUUCCGGGGGGCAUGCCUGUCCGAGCGUCAUUGCUGCCCUCAAGCACGGCUUGUGUGUUGGGCCCCGUCCUCCGAUCCCGGGGGACGGGCCCGAAAGGCAGCGGCGGCACCGCGUCCGGUCCUCGAGCGUAUGGGGCUUUGUCACCCGCUCUGUAGGCCCGGCCGGCGCUUGCCGAUCAACCCGAAUUUUUAUCCAGGUUGACCUCGGAUCAGGUAGGGAUACCCGCUGAACUUAA
rnacentral:rRNA from 1 species